ACCAUGCAGUCGAACGAUGAUGCCCAGCUUGCUGGGCGGAUUAGUGGCGAACGGGUGAGUAAUACGUGAGUAACCUGCCCUUGACUCUGGGAUAAGCCUGGGAAACUGGGUCUAAUACUGGAUACUACCUCUUACCGCAUGGUGGGUGGUGGAAAGGGUUUUACUGGUUUUGGAUGGGCUCACGGCCUAUCAGCUUGUUGGUGGGGUAAUGGCUCACCAAGGCGACGACGGGUAGCCGGCCUGAGAGGGUGACCGGCCACACUGGGACUGAGACACGGCCCAGACUCCUACGGGAGGCAGCAGUGGGGAAUAUUGCACAAUGGGCGGAAGCCUGAUGCAGCGACGCCGCGUGAGGGAUGACGGCCUUCGGGUUGUAAACCUCUUUCAGUAGGGAAGAAGCGAGAGUGACGGUACCUGCAGAAGAAGCGCCGGCUAACUACGUGCCAGCAGCCGCGGUAAUACGUAGGGCGCAAGCGUUGUCCGGAAUUAUUGGGCGUAAAGAGCUCGUAGGCGGUUUGUCGCGUCUGCUGUGAAAGCCCGGGGCUCAACCCCGGGUCUGCAGUGGGUACGGGCAGACUAGAGUGCAGUAGGGGAGACUGGAAUUCCUGGUGUAGCGGUGAAAUGCGCAGAUAUCAGGAGGAACACCGAUGGCGAAGGCAGGUCUCUGGGCUGUUACUGACGCUGAGGAGCGAAAGCAUGGGGAGCGAACAGGAUUAGAUACCCUGGUAGUCCAUGCCGUAAACGUUGGGCACUAGGUGUGGGGGACAUUCCACGUUUUCCGCGCCGUAGCUAACGCAUUAAGUGCCCCGCCUGGGGAGUACGGCCGCAAGGCUAAAACUCAAAGGAAUUGACGGGGGCCCGCACAAGCGGCGGAGCAUGCGGAUUAAUUCGAUGCAACGCGAAGAACCUUACCAAGGCUUGACAUUCACCGGACCGCCCCAGAGAUGGGGUUUCCCUUCGGGGCUGGUGGACAGGUGGUGCAUGGUUGUCGUCAGCUCGUGUCGUGAGAUGUUGGGUUAAGUCCCGCAACGAGCGCAACCCUCGUUCUAUGUUGCCAGCACGUGAUGGUGGGGACUCAUAGGAGACUGCCGGGGUCAACUCGGAGGAAGGUGGGGAUGACGUCAAAUCAUCAUGCCCCUUAUGUCUUGGGCUUCACGCAUGCUACAAUGGCCGGUACAAAGGGUUGCGAUACUGUGAGGUGGAGCUAAUCCCAAAAAGCCGGUCUCAGUUCGGAUUGAGGUCUGCAACUCGACCUCAUGAAGUCGGAGUCGCUAGUAAUCGCAGAUCAGCAACGCUGCGGUGAAUACGUUCCCGGGCCUUGUACACACCGCCCGUCAAGUCACGAAAGUUGGUAACACCCGAAGCCGGUGGCCUAACCCCUUGUGGGAGGAGCCGUCGAAG
rnacentral:rRNA from 1 species